GGUAGUUUGACCGCGAAAUUU
rnacentral:miRNA from 1 species